rnacentral:rRNA from 1 species
GAUGAACGCUGGCGGCAGGCCUAACACAUGCAAGUCGAACGAGUGGCGGACGGGUGAGUAAUGCCUGGGAAACUGCCUUAUGGAGGGGGAUAACUACUGGAAACGGUAGCUAAUACCGCAUACCAUCGGAUGUGCCCAGAUUGGAUUAGAUAGUAGGUGGGGUAACGGCUCACCUAGGCGACGAUCCCUAGCUGGUCUGAGAGGAUGACCAGCAAAACUGGAACUGAGACACGGUCCAGACUCCUACGGGAGGCAGCAGUGGGGAAUAUUGCACAAUGGGCGCAAGCCUGAUGCAGCCAUGCCGCGUGUAUGAAGAAGGCCUUCGGGUUGUAAAGUACUUUCGGCGGCGAGGCGUUACCCGCAGAAGAAGCACCGGCUAACUCCGUGCCAGCAGCCGCGGUAAUUC